CGCGGCCUAUCAGCUUGUUGGUGGGGUCAUGGCCCACCAAGGCGACGACGGGUAGCUGGUCUGAGAGGAUGGCCAGCCACAUGGGGACUGAGAUACGGCCCUGACUCCUACGGGAGGCAGCAGUGGGGAAUCUUGCGCAAUGGCCGCAAGGCUGACGCAGCGACGCCGCGUGUGGGAUGAAGGCCUUCGGGUUGUAAACCACUGUCAGGGGGGACGAAUACCUGGGCCUCGAAUAGGGGACCCGGGGGUGACGGUACCCCCUAAGGAAGCACCGGCUAACUCCGUGCCAGCAGCCGCGGUAAUACGGAGGGUGCGAGCGUUGUCCGGAAUCACUGGGCGUAAAGGGCGCGUAGGCGGCCACUUAAGUCAUCUGUGAAAUCCCGGGGCUCAAAUCCGGGCUGGCAGGUGAGACUGGGUGGCUCGAGCUCGGUAGAGGCGAGCAGAAUUCCCGGUGUAGCGGUGGAAUGCGUAGAUAUCGGGAAGAACACCAGUGGCGAAGGCGGCUCGCUGGACCGAAGCUGACGCUGAGGCGCGAAAGCGUGGGGAGCAAACAGGAUUAGAUACCCUGGUAGUCCACGCCGUAAACGAUGGGCACUAGGCGUCGGGGGGAGCGACCCCCUCGGUGCCGUCGCUAACGCAGUAAGUGCCCCGCCUGGGGAGUACGG
rnacentral:rRNA from 1 species